UGCAAUCUAUUUUUGGGUUGUGUUCAGACUUCAGACACAAGCGGUAGUCAGCUCGGUUUAAGUCGAUAAACUAAGCUUGUGGUUUCUCCUCCAAAUCAUCGAGGAAGUGAUUAAUGAAACCAAAAGUGGAUGCUGGCCUAUAAUAGAUGACUUCAUGAAUUACCUUUCUUCUCAAAGACCAUGUGACUGAGCAAACAAUUCACGUUUUGAUGAAGUCAGGGAUCCAUCAUAUGAGAGCACCACCGUUUGAUGUUCUGGAUACCAAAAUCUGGAUAAGUGUUCAAUAUAAGCUCCUCACCGAUCAAGGACACACCCUGGUUGACAAUAUACCAGAAGAAAAUCAGUCGAUGCAUUGGCACACAAAAAAUAUGGCAAACAAAUAUGUUACAUUAAACCAAAAGAAAAGUCUGUUUAGUACAAGAAAAUGAAAAACGUGAAACCAAUAGUCCUAUUUUUAUUUUUAUCACUGAUCGUAAGAAAUCCAUAGCUAUUGGCUGCAUACAAAGAAACAAAAAUUAUACCCACACAACCCAAAAAAUUGAACACAUGGGGCAACCCAUAGAAAAGCAUAAGGCCUAGGUUCAAGCUGCAAAACUAUCAAAGAACGAAGUAAUGUGGCAUAGAGAAAGCAUAAGGCCCGUGUUCAAGUUGCAAAACAUCAAAGAAGAAACAAAGUAAUGCAGUACAGAGAGACAACAGGCGCGGCAAAGCGCACCUAUGCUUCUAGUCAUGGCUAUAGCCUACUACUUCCAAUAAUGGUAGCACUCAGGAUAGCCCACACCGCCAAUUAGUUUGAUGCAUGCAAAGAAAAAGAAUGAAGCACCCAACGACUACUUUUGAUUUGAUGCAAGUGAAAUUCCUACGUUCGGCCCGGAAAAGGGUAAAAGGACCAUGAAAUUGAUCUUGACGCCCACGUUAAGUGUGCAUUGGAGAUGGACUAUAGAAGUAUAGAGGUUAGCCACAAGAUCAAUUACAACAUUGUGAUGGUUUUUCCCCCUAAAAUUCCAACAUUGUGAUGCCUCCCCCCCUAAAACACAUUGUGAUGGCUUUUACACUUCUUUUACUCGAUUCAUCAAGCUUCUUAUAAUAGAUCAAAUGCUAUUUCUUGAAAUCAGGUAAAACUCUUGUAAUCGUGUGACAGCUAUUAUUUUUUGUAAUCGGGUAAAAGGCAAGUUACAUGGCUCACUACUUUUACUCGAUUAAUCAGGAUUCUUAUAAUGGGGCAAAUGCUAUUUCUUGGAAUCGUGUAACAAUUGCUUUUUGUAAUCGGGUAAAAGGCAAGUUAUUAGAUGGCUCACGGAAUAACAUACACUCCUCGCCUGUUUUGCCCUCUUCCGUCCAGAUUCUCACCCGAGACCCUAUAAAUAUAGUUCCACCUUAGCUAUGUGUACCAGCAACAGCAACAGCAGCAUUGAUCGAUCAUUUGUGACCCGAUGACACACACCACGAGCUCCUCCAAUGGCACACAUAUAAUCCAGGUCAGGGAGGCCCACCUGGCCACCGUUAUCUGGUUGUGACGGCGAGAGGUAUAUAUACUCUGUACUGCAUUGCUGUGCUGAGUCCAUUUCUAGUGACUGGACUGUUGUGACGGCGAGAGGUAUAUAUACUCUGUACUGCACUGCUCUGCUUUGCCAUGAUGAGUUCACUUCUAGUGACUGAACUGUUGUGACGGCGAGAGGUAUAUAUACUCUGUACUACACUGCUCUGCUUUGCCAUGAUGAGUCCAUUUCUAGUGACUGAACUGCGAAAGGUAUAUAUACUCUGUAAU
rnacentral:lncRNA from 1 species